UCUCCUACGGGGGGCAGCAGUGAGGAAUAUUGGUCAAUGGGCGGAAGCCUGAACCAGCCAAGUCGCGUGAGGGACUAAGGCCCUGCGGGUCGUAAACCUCUUUUGCCGGGGAGCAGUGGUCCGGACGCGUCCGGACCGGGAGAGUACCCGGAGAAAAAGCAUCGGCUAACUCCGUGCCAGCAGCCGCGGUAAUACGGAGGAUGCGAGCGUUAUCCGGAUUUAUUGGGUUUAAAGGGUGCGCAGGCGGAGGUGCAAGUCAGCGGUCAAAUUGCGGGGCUCAACCCCGUACUGCCGUUGAAACUGCA
rnacentral:rRNA from 1 species